ACCUCACGACGAAGAAACUGUUACCAUUUAAAAGGAAAAGUAACUUCGCUACAUAACAUCUACUAUUAACGCAGUCUAGGAAGGUUUUAUCCUGAAAUGCGUGCGGAGGAGGCUAGAGGGUGAAGGUUUUUUUCUCGGAAAUUACAGUCUUCCUCAACUCCCGCCUCCCCUCCACCCGGCGCUUCCCGUCACUUUGGAGGGACUCGAAGCCGUCCCAGGCCAUUUCUAUGGGUGACGACUUGUGGACUACCGUGAGGGUAAAGGCCCCGCGCCGACUAUUGUGAGCUAUUAACUCCCGGAAAAGCAGACGCAAGCCAUUAUAGAAGCAACGUGUAUCCCAAGCAUCAAGACUGGCACCUCCAAGCUCCUUCCCCCUGGAACUUUACUCAACAUUUCAGCAUCAGGCCAUUAUAGCUUUGAAUUGUGCCUUUGAGCAUCUCUGUUUUUGCAUCCAUUAACAAGAUGUGUCCUAAGAAAUCAUUUAUGAUGGCGAGAACCCUGCUGGCCAUCUUAUAUGCCCCUAAGGACGGCAUAGAAGGAGCUGACUGCUGGUAACUUUUCUGCCUAUCUCUUCCUGUAUUUGACUUUUUCGAGAAAAUAACAAAAUAAGGAGUUCCCACUGAUGCACAGUAGGUUCGGAGUCCAACUGCUGCGUCUUAGGCCACAGCAGAGAUGGCUUGAAGACAAAUUGGAGAUGGCAGAAAAAAGACUCAGUGGCCUUGAAGGCAUAGAGAGUACUAUUCAGGAAAUUAUAGCAUUACUGUAUCUGGGAUGCAUGACAAGAAUAAGUUCAGGAAGGCUCCAAGGGGAAAGGUAAGCUCUUACUCCUGGGGGAGAGGAAGGGACCAAACCAUUAGGUAUGAAAAGCACAGCAGAAUAGAUGGGGGUGGUGGAUAAUGCCUGAUCAUGAACUAAUUGUAAAUAAGCCAUAUCAUGUUGACUUCCUUUUGAAUAUGAACUUUUAAAUGGCUUGAUCCUCUAGUUCCUUUGUAAGAACCAUGGUAACUUCCAUGUCCAGGUCUAAACUAUAAAAAUUGUGAAAAGCUCCCCAAGGCUGCAAAGACUGGUUAAACAUGUUAGUGUGCUGAAUCUGAGGCCCAUUGCUUCUCCUUGGCUUCCAUCUCUGCUUCUUCAUUGUUGACAGACCCACCCAAAUGUAAAUGUUUUUCUUACCUCUGCCUUUGAGUUGUAAAAUAAUUCUUCUAAGUGAAUUAAUGAGAAAGCAAUGAAGAUGAAUACAAAAUGCUGGCGCGUGUGAAGCAAUGACCCUGACAUCACUUUACCUGGAAAGUAGAGGGAAUGCUCUUCCUUGUCACGUUAUCACUCUUGCCCUCCAGGACACCACUGUCACCCCAGGACCUCACUGGCUGCUCCUUGUCAGUGUCCUUUGCUGGCUCCUCUUCUACUCCCUGAACUCUCAACAUUAGAGUGGCCCAGAGCUCAGUCUUCUGACCACCUCUCUCUCCACACGUGUUCCUUGUAUGUUCACAUCCAGGCUCACUACUUUAAGUACUCAAGUAUAUUUCCAUGACUCCCAAAUGAGUAUCUCCAGCCCAGACCUCUGUUCUGAAGUUCAGACUAAUAUAUCCUACUGCUGAUUCAAAAUCUCUCUUUGGCUUUCUCCAACAAGCAUCUCAAACUUUGCAUGUCCAAACCAGAGCUUUGAUUCCCAGCCACCUUCACCUUAGCUUGGAUUCCCCCAAAAGCAGACUGAGACAAAGACCUAGAGCAGUGGUUAGCUUGGGGAGUCGGGGAGAUGGGGAGCUUGUCUGCAGAGAGGUCCUCAACAUUCUUCCCUUCCUGUGUGCCUACUCCUCUGAAGUGUGAUUUUGACAGCCUUCCCGGGAAGAAGUGGGAUUUCUCUUUUCAACCUUUAUACCUGGCCUGGGAUUGUGACUUGGUUUGACCAAAAGAAUGCAUAGAAGUGACACUGUGAGACUUCUAACUCCAGGCCUCAUGAUGCUUUGUGGCUUCCCCAUGUGCCUCCUUAGAAUGCUACCCUGAGAUUGGCAUACGAAGAGUCCUGGUCUAGCCUAGUGGAGGAUGAGAGGGCAUAGAGAGCAAUAAGCCAUCCCAUCUGAAGCCUCUUAAAUCAACCAGCUGACAGCUGGCAUCUUCCGUCUAUCAGCAGAGGUCAUUGUAAAUAAUCCAGUGCCAAUCAAGAUGCCAGAUGAGGAGUUCCUGUAGUGGGUCAGUGAUAAUGAACCUGAGUAGUAUCCAUGAGGACAUGAGUUCAGUCCCUGGACUUGCACAGUGGUUUAAGGAGUCAGCAUUUCCAUGAGCUGUGGCUCAGCAUUUCCAUGACCCGAGCCAGGUCACAGAUGUGGCUCAGAUCCCACGUUGCUGUGGCUGUGGUGUAAGCUGGCAGCUACAGAUCCAAUUUGACCCCUAGCCUGGGAACUUCCAUAUGCUGCAGGUACAGCCCUAAAAAAUAAAUAAAGCCCAACUGUGCUUUUCUGAAAAAAUAACUGUUGUGUUGCUUGUUUCUGAGUCAUUGAACUGGUCCCCUCUUCCCUUUUGAAGGUAGCAUUCCUUUGAAUGGAGGGUAGGGCAGUUGAACCAGCAAAGGACUCUGGCCCAGGCUUUGUCACUAACCAGUUUCAUGAUAUUACCUGGGUUAUUUAAUUUCCUCCUCUACAAAAUGGAAAGGACACUCUACCUGCCUCACAAGUUGGAUGUGAGACCCCAAUGAUAUAAUGUGAAAAACUUGAAAUACUACAGUUACACAAAUGAAAUUUUUUUUUUUGCUUUUUUUUUUUUAGGGCUGCUCUCACGGCAUUUGGAGGUUCCAAGGCUAGGGGUUGAAUGGGAGCUGCUGAUGCCAGCCUACACCACAGCAGCAAGGGAUCAGAGCCGCUUCUGUGAACUACACCACAGCUCAUGGCAACGCCAGAUCCUUAACCCACUGAGUGAGGCCAGGAAUCAAACCCAAAACCUCAAGGUUCCUAGUCAUAUUCAUUUCCCCUGUGCCAUGAUGGGAACUCCAACAAGAUUUUUAUUUUUAUUUGCUGCUUUUAAACUCUCCUCCUUUCCCCUUUUCCUAAAAUUUGUCUUUUCCUAGCGGUUCCAGAAGAAGUGAUGGUAGGCCUAGAGAGCUCUCUGAGCUAGUCCAGCCAUCCAGUUGGCCUGAGGUAAGAAACUGGGGAGGUUGGAGAGAGGUAGAACUAAUAGCACAGCACAAUAAAACUCACAAGGAAGUGCUGGUUCAGAGUCCCCUAUCAGAGAAAGAAAAAUUGAGGCAAAAUGCAGUUUCUCUUCACUCCCCUGAUAAUAAAACAAAUUUACAGGAUCUCAUCAAAACUAUGGAAGAAAGAAAAGUUAUGAAAACUUCCUGGUGUGCAAGGCAUAACAAAGAAAAUGUAUUGUACAGCACUUAUGUAUGUAAAUGUCCAUAAUGUCUUUGAUAUGACUUUUAUCUAGUGGGCCUGUUACUGAGUCCAAGGUUACACUGCUGCCCCACAACAGGCCAAUAAAUCCAGAGACAAGAUGCUGGGGCAGGGAAUAGCAACUUUAUUCUGAAAAUCAGCAGGUCAGGAAAACAGUGGACUAGUGUCCCAAAGAAUCAUCUUACCUAAGUUAGAAUUUAUACUAAAAGGGGAGGUGGUGUGGCUGGUUGUUGGGAAAUUUCGGUGCUGGAAUCCUUUGUUCUUGCAGCCACAUAGGUUCAGUCACAAUAUUCCCAUAAACCUCUAACAAGGCAAAUGUUAUUCUCUGUUCUGCAACUUUUUAUCUCUAUGUGAUAAGCAUCUCUAUAUUCAGAGCAUUAAGAAUGGGCUAUCAUGUAUAUUUCAGGCUAUAGGCAACAUUCUUUUACAAAAGGUAUAGAGACAGCAUGACUAAGCACAGGCAACAGAGCACCAGGGUUAGAGCUCAAGGAAUAGAUCCAAUAUGGAGUCAGAUCUGUUCUUCUCUGUUACAAGCUGUUUUAUAUUAGUGAACAUUUUUUAAAUGUGCUUUUUUUGGGCUUCCUCCUACCCUAUUUUGGUUCCUGUCUCCAUGUUUCUCAUGAAGUGUUUCAGUUCCUCAGCCACACGUUCUCUUGGCAUAGUUUUCGGGAACAUAAAUUUCAAGAUUGGCAAAGGGAUACUGUACCUUACCCAUUCCAUCUGAACAUUAUUACGAUGCCACAAAAUCACCUAUUUUCAUAAUAAAAUAUACCAUGCUUCUUUUUAUUAAUAAUUGAAAAUGAACAGAAAUAUUGUUAUUUGUUUGAGAAGGGCUCCAUUGUUUUUCUUUAGAAUGUUAAUUUCCUGCUUUGCAUUUCCUUCCUCAUAGAUAAAUGCAGAGAACAUGUCUCUUCUUGGGAAAAGUGGGCAUUCUUGAAGAAGUAAAAGAUUGACCUCAUUGUAUACAUUUAAUGUAACAGACACAGGUAGUUUGUGAAAAUUCAGAAAUACUAUUUUUUUCCAAAGUAUGGUUAAUGACAGGUUGGAUAAUCUCUUGAUUUGGGAACUGAGUUCUACUACAUUUAAUACAAUCCCAAAUGACUAAGACGUGAACCAGAGAACACUGAGUCUGGAGGUUCGCAGUUUCUGGUAUCAUUUCUGUGGCUCAAAAGUGUGAGGGUCAAAGUUUCUCCGUUGUUUCUUACCAUCAUGAUUAUAACAUGGAUAACUGUGGAUCUAACCAUCACAUUCAAAUUCCAGGAAGGAAGCGGGAAAGAGAAAAGGCAAAGUCCAAGAGGCCAAGCCAGCCAAAUCUUUCCCUUUAAAGGGACUUUCCUAAAAAUCCUGCUUCUCUCUGGCCAGGAUGGUAUCACACAACCUCCUAGCUGCAAGGAAAUUGGGAAAUAUAUUUGUUUGUUUUUUUCAGCUGGGUAUAUUGCCACUUCCAGCAAAAGUAGGAAGGAAGAAAGGGAAAAUAGUUACUGAUCAAAAAAUUGGCACUCUGUACCCCUCCUUUUUAUUUAAUUUUUUGGCCUUUCCACAGCAUAUGGAAGUUCCCAGGCCACGGACUGAAUCUGAGCCACAGCUGUGAUGCUUCAGCUGUGGCAACACCGAAUCCUUAACCCACUGUGUCAGGCCAGGAAUCAAACCUGCAUGCCAGCACUCCAGGGACACUGCCGAUCCUGUUGCACCACAGAGAGAGCUCCACCACAACCUUUUCUUGGAAAAAUAUCAUCUUAUUUCAAGAUCAUGUCUGCAAGCUGAUGGUUGCUUUUUAAUUAUAAGAAUAAUAAAUGGGGCCUUCACAAAAUGGCCCCACCGCUGCUUUCAGUCCCUAGUGGACUGAGUUGUAAUUGCUGGUUGAAUUAUUCUGCUAUUACUAAAGCAAGUCGCAUUGCCUUCUCUUGGGGGAAUAGCUUUAGAAUAGCUUCUAAAAGAAAAAUAAAAGAAUUUAAAACACUACCUAUGCAAAACUGUAGUGAGUGGGUCUUAACGGUAUUUUUUAAAGUAUAUUUUCAUGGCUUACUUGUAAUAUAGUAGUUUUGGGGACACAAUAACUACCCACGCAUCAGAAGUUGCCCUUAUGACCAUUUCAGUGCAUAAGGUAUGGUGGUAGGAGAAUUGGCUUUGAAAUGAGACACACCUGGACUUGCAAUGUAGGUAAUAUUAAAAGCCUCCAAAGUGGUCUGCCUGCGUUUGCCCUUGCUAUUUAUAGACCAUUCUCAGCCAGCUGCAGAGAAGACCCUAAAUGAUGUCAGAUAAAGGUACCCUGCUCAAAACCCCCAGUGGCUCCUCAUCCAAAGAAGCCAAAAUCCUUACAAUGGCCUCCAAGGUCCUCUCCUUCUCUGCACACACUGACCCAACCCCCGAGUCUUUCUGACCUCUUUCCUGUCUUUUCUUCCUCUUCCCUCUGUUCCAGCCUAGCCUCCUUGCUGUUGCUCAAAGCCCACUCCCCCUCAGAGCUCUGCACUGCCUCUUCACUGCCUGUAGCACUUUCCCCUCUGAUACCCACAGGGCCCACCCCUCACCCUUUCAGGGCAUUUUUGAAGGUCACCUUUUUUAACGACUUCCUUUAAUCUGCAGAACAAGCUUCCUUUCAUCUUCUUUAAUUUUCUAUAGUACUUGCAUCUAUCACCACUAUCUUCUUAUUGCAUUUCAUUUCAUUUCAGUCGUAGAAGAGGAUUAAAAUCUUUACUCCUAGUCUAGUAUCUUAUUUUAAUUAUUUUUCUAAUUAAUACAGUAAAAAAAAAUUCAAACAGUUUAGGAGUUCCCGUCGUGGCGCAGCAGAAACUAAUCCGACUAGGAACCAUGAGGUUUUGGGUUUGAUCCCUGGCCUCGCUCAGUGAGUUAAGGAUCCAGCGUUGCCAUGAGCUGUGGAGUAGGUCACAGACGCAGCUCGAAUCCGGAGUUGCUGUGGCUCUGGCGUAGGCUGGCAGGUAUAGCUCCAAUUGGACCCCUAGCCUGGGAAUCUCCAUAUGCUGCAAGUGUGGCCCUGAAAAGACAAAAGACAAAAAAAAAAAAAAAAAAAAAA
rnacentral:lncRNA from 1 species